AAAGUCGUAACAAGGUUUCCGUAGGUGAACCUGCGGAAGGAUCAUUAACACGUAUCCUUACGUUUAACCACCCGUGCACCUUCAUUGGAGACUUGCAACCCCCCGCCGGGGGCAAGUAUCCCAAACCGCGUUCACCUGUGGCGAAAUGACGACGAACGGUAAAACGUUGAAGAAUCGUCAACUGUUAACAAUGGAUAUCUUGGCUCUC
rnacentral:misc_RNA from 1 species